GUUACUUAUAUGUUUUAGACAAUGAGAGUUUUGCGCAAUGUUGAAUUUUUCAUGCCUCCAGUGACUGAUAACU